rnacentral:SRP_RNA from 2 species
GCUCGGUGCAGUGGUGCGUGCCUAUAGUCCCAGCUACUCUGGAGGCUGAGGCAGGAGGACUGUCUAAGUCUAGGAGUUCUGGGCUGUAGUGUACUAUGCGUAUCAGGUGUCCACACUAAGUCUGGCAUCGACACGAUAACCUCCCGGAAGCAAGGGAGCACCACGUUGCCUAAGGAGGGGUGAACAGGCCCAGGUCAGAAAGAGAGCAGGUCAAAUACUCCCAUGCUGAUCAGUAAUGGGAUCGCGCCUGUGAAUAACCCUUGCACUCCAGCCUGGACAACAAAGAGAAUCCCCCAUGUCUA